AUGAUAGCAGCCAACAAGAUCUGCACUAAAAACAACCAAAGAGCAUAAUGAGGAAACACCAGCAAUUAAAACUGCCAUUUUGAAACUUCAGCAAGGCCAGAAAAAUUUUGAAAAUAUUUCGUCUACGAUUUUGUAUUUCAUCUGCAAAGAUAUAAAGCCUUUUAACAUGGUCUCAGGAAAGGGGUUCCUGCGGCUUAUGAAGGAAGUCGCGCCGCGUUAUAAAGUGCCGGGUCCAACAUAUUUUAAACAGCAGUUGACAAAAAAGUUUGAAUCGGUAAA